UUAAGCAAUUAUUCUUAUUAGUGUGUUUUAAUAAAAUUUGACAGUAUCACUAGCAUUUAAAAAUGGUAAACAAAAAUGUAUUGUUUCAAUUUGUUGACAAGACAUUGAACUCUGUUUCUUUAAUUUCUAAGCUUCAUACAAGCUCCACUUGCCACCUGAAACCAAUGUGCUCCUAAAAGAUUGUGCAGGAGUUGAUGUGGAUGCUGAUAUUUUUGAGAGUAGUGAACACACGCACAGCAAGUGGUGAACACACGUACACCCGGAGCAGUGGGCAGCUAUCACUGCAGCACCCGGGGAGCAAGUAGGGGUUGGUGCCUUGCUCAAGGGCACCUCAGUCAUUACCCGCCGGCUCUGGGAAUCGAACCGGCAACCUUCUGGUCACAAGUCCGAUUCUCUAAUCAUUAGGCUACGACUUGCUGCCAAUCAUCCCUAAGUCUUAUUGCUGAAUACUUGAUGAUGUCCUCCAAGCUGAGGCAGAGUUCUCUGGAUCCUAAUGGAUGCCCCGAGUCAUAAUUUUCAUCGGAGGAUCCCACCAUGUCUGGAUAUACUGUACAAGUAUGCAGUACAUCAAUGCACUUUCUCAAUUGACAAUCUUUGGUAAUAUAUAAGGCUCUCUUUGGAGAUGACAUAGACAGAAUUAUUUGAAAAUGGAAACGUUUUACAGGAACAUCCAAAAUAAUUGCUGACCAUCAAAACCUAUGUUGCACAUGUUAACAACCUUUUAUCUGGUCAGCAGCAGUCUGAUUAUGGAUGGAACAGUGAUGUGGCAGCUCUCUUGCUCCUUCAUCUCUUGCCUCAAACUGUAAACGGUGAAACUGCCCAGAUCAUGCUGUGAAGUUUAUGAAGGUGGGGAUGAGCAUUAAUGAGCUCAUAAUGAGCAUGCUCAUUGAGCGAGUUGGAUUGACCCAGACCUUCCUUCUCUACGUUGGGGAUAUGUAGUAAGUUCUACAUCAUCCUGUGCAUGAUCCAGGCCCCUGCUGCAGCCGUGGACAAACUCUUUAAGGCACUCUUUGUCUUUGGUGUGUCUUAUGGUGAGGCCUUGUUCAAUUUCUACACAUUUAUUCAAACAACCGUGCAUGGAAUUGAAGUCCAAGGGGUCAAGAAAACUAAAGUGAGAAUGCAAAACUGAGGUUCAACCUUAUUUCAGAAUAUUUAGUGCAAUGGAAGAACUUGUCAUCCUCAUGAUCAUGCAAUGACCCUGUUCUUAAUUCUUCUUGGCCUAAAUGCUAUUUACUCACCGAACAUUGUAUUCUUUACUGUAUUAACAGGGUAUAGAUUAUUGUUUGAGUUUUUAUUUGAAAAGAUUUCGUUUGGACCUGUUAAUGAAAUCUCAGAUUGCAAUCUGGAAGGUUAUUAAGUUUUAACUAAAACUUUGAGUGUCAUCUUUUUCUACUAUAUCUUUGGUUGAAAACCAUGGAGCUGAAUACCUGAGUAAUGUUUGCUUUGCUGUUGAAAAUGAAAUGUCUGAUUUCAGUAAGAUGAUCGGUAUUCUUAUAAAUAAUAAGCAAGCAUUUUUAGUCAGUAUCGUAACUGCAGUUAAGUAUGUAUUGAGGUGGUGUGAAAUGUCUGAUUUCAGUAAGAUGAUCGGUAUUCUUAUAAAAAAUAAGCAAGCAUUUUUAGUCAGUAUCGUAACUGCAGUUAAGUAUGUAUUGAGGUGGUUACUAUUUUUACCAUUUUCCUUUUUGAGCAUAUGAUUAUAGACCUGAUGGACAGUGUUUAUAUUAUCGUGAUGAGCGAUUGAGAUAUUGUAGUUUUUUUUUUUAUUUGCAGUAAAUUAUG